rnacentral:rRNA from 1 species
CUUUCUUUGCUGACGAGUGGCGGACGGGUGAGUAAUGCUUGGGAAUCUGGCUUAUGGAGGGGGAUAACGACGGGAAACUGUCGCUAAUACCGCGUAGUGUCGGGAGACGAAAGACCGGGACCGCAAGGCCGGUUGCCAUAAGAUGAGCCCAAGUGGGAUUAGGUAGUUGGUGGGGUAAAGGCCUACCAAGCCUGCGAUCUCUAGCUGGUCUGAGAGGAUGGCCAGCCACACUGGAACUGAUACACGGUCCAGACUCCUACGGGAGGCAGCAGUGGGGAAUAUUGCGCAAUGGGGGCAACCCUGACUCAGCCAUGCCGCGUGAAUGAAAAAUGCCUUCGGGUUGUAAAGUUCUUUCGGUGAUGAGGAAGGCGGAUAGUUUAAUAGGCUAAUCGAUUGACGUUAAUCACUUAAUAAGUACCGGCUAACUUCCGUGCC